rnacentral:rRNA from 1 species
UACGUAGGGGGCAAGCGUUGUCCGGAUUUAUUGGGCGUAAAGAGCGUGUAGGCGGCCAGGUAGGUCAGCUGUGAAAACUCGAGGCUCAACCUCGAGACGUCGGUUGAAACCACCUGGCUAGAGUCCGGAAGAGGAGAGUGGAAUUCCUGGUGUAGCGGUGAAAUGCGCAGAUAUCAGGAAGAACACCCGUGGCGAAGGCGGCUCUCUGGGCCGAUACUGACGCUGAGGAGCGAAAGCGUGGGGAGCAAACAGG